rnacentral:rRNA from 1 species
UGCCCUCUUCUUUGGGAUAACGCCCGGAAACGGGUGCUAAUACUGGAUAUUCACUGAUCUUCGCAUGGGGGUUGGUGGAAAGGUUUGUUCUGGUGGGGGAUGGGCUCGCGGCCUAUCAGCUUGUUGGUGGGGUGAUGGCCUACCAAGGCUUUGACGGGUAGCCGGCCUGAGAGGGUGACCGGUCACAUUGGGACUGAGAUACGGCCCAGACUCCUACGGGAGGCAGCAGUGGGGAAUAUUGCACAAUGGGCGAAAGCCUGAUGCAGCGACGCCGCGUGAGGGAUGGAGGCCUUCGGGUUGUAAACCUCUUUCGCUCAUGGUCAAGCCGCAACUGUGGGUUGUGGUGAGGGUAGUGGGUAAAGAAGCGCCGGCUAACUACGUGCCAGCAGCCGCGGUAAUACGUAGGGCGCGAGCGUUGUCCGGAAUUAUUGGGCGUAAAGGGCUUGUAGGCGGUUGGUCGCGUCUGCCGUGAAAUUCUCUGGCUUAACUGGGGGCGUGCGGUGGGUACGGGCUGACUUGAGUG